rnacentral:lncRNA from 1 species
GGAUUUUGAUCCUGAAUCCCUAUGACAUGGUGUGAUAUGAUAUGAUAUGCAUGACAUGAUAUGCGUGGAUGCAUGAUUCUUUUUUUUUUGUUGUGAUUUUUUAUAUCUGAUAGGGGUAUGAUGGACCCUUGACAGGAGAUGCUACUAGACAGACCAAUAUGUGGGGAAUACUGAUGAUCCACAGGGAGACAGACAAAUGGUAAGUAACAACUUGCUGGGGAAACAGUCC